UACGAAGGGUGCAAGCGUUACUCGGAAUUACUGGGCGUAAAGCGUGCGUAGGUGGUUCGUUAAGUCUGAUGUGAAAGCCCUGGGCUCAACCUGGGAAUGGCAUUGGAAACUGGCGAUCUAGAGUGCGGUAGAGGGUAGUGGAAUUCCCGGUGUAGCAGUGAAAUGCGUAGAGAUCGGGAGGAACAUCUGUGGCGAAGGCGACUGCCUGGACCAGCACUGACACUGAGGCACGAAAGCGUGGGGAGCAAACAGG
rnacentral:rRNA from 1 species